UGGAAAAGAGAAGCUGAAAGAGAAAGGAAGGCUGGAAAAGAAAGUCUGCCUGGGAAUGAUGCCCGCACAGAGGGAAGCUGAUUAAGAGAUGAAAAGAGACAGACUCUUGACAACAUUGUUGGAGCACCUGGAUCCAGAUGUGCCUGAAGCUACCUCCGGACUUUCCAGCUACACAAGCCAAAGCUUGACCCUACUCAAGUCUCAAAUAUUGGAGAGAGAAGCAGCUCCAGCAGCAACAGCAGCAGCAAUAGCAGGAAAAAUGAGCCAGAGGCCAGAGAGAC
rnacentral:lncRNA from 1 species